CUGAGUUAGGGUCUUCCAGGCCCGACCUCCAACCCUUUGCCUACCUUACCUCUUGUUGCUUCGGCCGGCCCGUCCCCCCUAGAAAUAGGGGUCGACCGCCGGAGGGCUCACACCCUCUGGCCCGCGCCCGCCGAAGACAUCUCGAACUCUGUCUGAAGAUUGUAGUCUGAGUAAAAAUAUAAAUUAUUUA
rnacentral:misc_RNA from 1 species